AGCCAUCGUGGAUCACAGUGGAGGCCUGCCCUGUCAUGGUACCUACCUGCUGCACCAGGUACAGGAUUGGUGCACAUGUUGGAGAUCCAGCGGAGGAUCAGAGUGACCCUCAUCCACGAGAAGAGCAGCGAGCUCCAUUGGAAAGAUGUUCAUGAGGUGGUUGUAGGACUUUGAGGCAGUGUGGGACAGCUCCCUGCACAACUCCCUCCUGCUCAACCGCGUCACUCCCUACGGAGAGAAGAUCUACAUGACCUUAUCUGCGUAUCUGGAGCUGGACCAUUGCAUCCAGCCUGCCAUUAUCACCAAAGACCUCUGCACGGUCUUUUAAUCCCAAGACGCCAAGAUUUCCCCACCCUGUUCUCUCAAGAACCUCUUUGGGACUGGAUACUCCAAAACUCCUGACUGCAACCGAGUGACUGGGAUCUACGAGCUGAGCUUGUGUAAGACAUCUGACACUGGAAGCCCAGGAGGAAUUGUGGAGACCAGGAAGCAGCACACGGACAGUACACAGGGAACGGGCACGGAGCACGGGUUAAAGGAGAAGACACGGAACAGGAGUCGGGAUCGCACAAGCUUCUGAAGUCGUUCAAAGUUGCUUAGCCCUUUGAACGACUUCAGAAGCUGUCUUUUUUAUGUUUGUCUUCAGAGUUUAGGAACUGUUUGCCUGUCAAACCAUGGACCAUGAGCAUGGAGCGGGAGUCAGGAGCACGUUCAUGGAAACCACUUCUUUCCUUCUGUUUCACGAUUGUUCACAUUUCUCACUGUAAAUAAACACACCGACUCUGAUGGGAAAAUCCUGCAUUUGGUCCCGGUUCUUGCCACGCAUCUUGACAUAAGUAAUAAACACUUUGAUUUAGAAACUGCAUUUUGUGUUCACUUGUGUUAUCAUUAUCUAAUAUUUAAAUUUGUUUAAUGAUCUGAAACAGUUUUUCACAUCACUGUACGUACGUAGAAGUUCUACUCAAACUCUAUGAACAGAAUCAUUCUAACAAUGUGAACCAAGCUGUCACUGCAUCUGUACUAAUACUCAGUUUGUAAGUACAGACAUGAUUCCUCAUGCUACAAAACAACCCUAAGAGAUGCGGUUAAUAUAUUGACCAGUUGGGUAAACUUGUCAACACUGUUCUUCAGAGGAUAAAGUGCUGGUGCUAUGUUCCACCACCAGACUUGCACACAAUGUUGCAGAGAUGUGCCAAGCAGGAAAGCACAAGAGCCUUAAGGCUAGUUCCAGAACUUUCU